UGGGGAAUAUUGCACAAUGGGCGAAAGCCUGAUGCAGCAACGCCGCGUGAGUGAUGAAGGCCUUCGGGUUGUAAAGCUCUGUCUUUGGGGACGAUAAUGACGGUACCCAAGGAGGAAGCCACGGCUAACUACGUGCCAGCAGCCGCGGUAAUACGUAGGUGGCAAGCGUUGUCCGGAUUUACUGGGCGUAAAGGAUGCGUAGGUGGAUAUUUAAGUCAGAUGUGAAAUACCCGAGCUUAACUUGGGUGCUGCAUUUGAAACUGGAUAUCUAGAGUGCAGGAGAGGUAAGUGGAAUUCCUAGUGUAGCGGUGAAAUGCGUAGAGAUUAGGAAGAACACCAGUGGCGAAGGCGACUUACUGGACUGUAACUGACACUGAGGCAUGAAAGCGUGGGGAGCAAACA
rnacentral:rRNA from 1 species